AUCGAACGCUGGCGGCAGGCUUAACACAUGCAAGUCGAGCGGAGAUGAGGUGCUUGCACCCUAUCUUAGCGGCGGACGGGUGAGUAACGCUUAGGAAUCUGCCUAUUAGUGGGGGACGACAUUCCGAAAGGAAUGCUAAUACCGCAUACGUCCUACGGGAGAAAGCAGGGGAUCUUCGGACCUUGCGCUAAUAGCUGAGCCUAAGUCGGAUUAGCUAGUUGGUGGGGUAAAGGCCUACCAAGGCGACGAUCUGCAGCGGGUCUGAGAGGAUGUACCGCCACGCUGGGACUGAGACACCGCCUAAUGUCCUACGGGAGGCAGCAGUGGGGAAUAAUGGGCAAUGGGGGGAACGCUGAUCCAGCCAUGCCGCGUGUGUGAAGAAGGCCUUAUGGUUGUAAAGCACUUUAAGCGAGGAGGAGGCUACUGAGACUAAUACUCUUGGAUAGUGGACGUUACUCGCAGAAUAAGCACCGGCUAACUCUGUGCCAGCCGCCGCCGUAA
rnacentral:rRNA from 1 species